GACGUAGGGUGCGAGCGUUGUCCGGAUUUAUUGGGCGUAAAGAGCUCGUAGGCGGCUCGUCGCGUCAGCUGUGAAAACCCGCGGCUUAACCGUGGGCGUGCAGCUGAUACGGGCGGGCUAGAGUUCGGUAGGGGAGACUGGAAUUCCUGGUGUAGCGGUGAAAUGCGCAGAUAUCAGGAGGAACACCGGUGGCGAAGGCGGGUCUCUGGCCCGAUACUGACGCUGAGGCACGAAAGCGUGGGGAGCAAACAGG
rnacentral:rRNA from 1 species